GAGACAGGAAGAGUUGGUUCAGGUUGAGCUAUUAAGAUCCUAGAAUAUCCUCAUAAGGAGUUUAGAUUCUGUCCUGUGGCUGGUGGAUUUCAUCUAAAAUUUAAGCUUAUAUAAAUAUAUAUUUAUAAUUAUAUAAUUAUAAAUAUAUAAUUAUAUUAUUAAUAUUUAAUAUCAUAAAGGAAGCUCUGACUGUGUGUGUAACUGGGAUGAUGGUAAAAAAGAUAAUCAGGCAGCUCUCUGUGAUAACAUACAAACUGUAGCAGAAAAAGGACUUCUGGAUCAAGAAUAUUGGGAAAGGCUACUUUGCUACCAUUUUCAUCAUUGCAGUCCUCCUUAUUUAAAGCUAUGGAAGAAGCUUUUUUUAGUAACCACAAGAUAGCAUACUUCAUCUACAGAAGUAUAGGUCUGGUUAUUUUAAGAACAUAUGGAUUUGAUCUUUGCCCUAAGUCUAAUAUAGUAUCUUUACAUAAAAAUCUGUAUAACUGCAUGUACACUUUAUUUUUUGUGGGAUUAAAUUUUGUUAAAAAUCAUGGUCCAAAAUGUUUACUAUCUGGAAAAUUGGAGAUUUAUUUCUCCUUACACUCCUCCCGUAUACACAGCACAUGUAUAUUUCUCAGCUUCAUAUUUUUAGUCUUUAAUGAUUGAAUAAUUCAGUAAUAUCAUUUAUCAUGAUAAAUUUGAACUAAGUAGGUAUUUGCAAGUAUUGUUAAUAAAAAAUAGUCUAUACUCAGAAUAUCUCACAAUGUAUAAUAUAGAACAGUAACUCACCCCUUUUACAUUAAUUUAUUUUUUGAGGUGCAUUAAUGUACUAUGUCAUUUUUUUAGUAUCCACUGCCAUAGUUCUGUGACAUUUAGACACAGAAUUAGACAAAUCUAAUUUUAUUGUAGUCCCAAAAGGCUUAAUGUUUGAUCACCCUUCCCUUUCCUUACCAAGUUCCCCUAUCUUCUCUCUCUCAUAUACAUACACAUAAUAUUCCCACAUAAACAAUUUUUUUGGGUGAGAUGUUCUCAUUCUAUUGAGUAGAUAAGAAAUGUAGAAUAAGGACACUGCAGGCAUGAAGAAAAGAAGUAGGGAUUUAACAGUUGGUGCUAAAAAAAUAACAGAGAUGCUCAUUUACUACCCCUCUUGUCCUGGCUCCCAGCAUUCUUUGAAACAAUUUAGGUGGGCCUGACAGUAAUUCCCUGAAAGUGUGCUCCCCUUCUGUACCACCCACCAACCACAACUCAGAUCGUAUUUGACUGUUUUGUGACAUCUCUUCUUAUUUCUCACUCAAGGUUAUACUUGAGGUUGAUUUCAGUUAGAUUUCUACUGUGAAAAUGCUAUGAAUAUGGGUCAGGAAUAAGUCCUGUGUUCUCAUUCAUUAAAAAUUUGGGCUAUGAGAUCAAGAAAAAUCA
rnacentral:lncRNA from 1 species